rnacentral:rRNA from 1 species
UUUAAUGGCCGCAGUAAUUUAACUGUGCGAAGGUAGCAUAAUCAAUAGUUUUUUAAUUGAAAGCUUGUAUGAAAGGUUGGACGAGAUAAUAUCUGUCUUUAUUAUAAUUAUUAUAGAAUUUAAUUUUUAAGUUAAAAAGCUUAAAUUUUUUUAAAAGACGAGAAGACCCUAUAGAGUUUUAUAAUUUAAAAUUUAUAAUUAUUUUAGAUUAUUUAAUUUUAUAAAUUUAUAUUUAUUUUAUUGGGGUAAUAGAAAGAUUAAUAUAAUUCUUUUUUAUUUAUUUAUUUAUUUAUAUAUUUAUAAUCCUUUUUUAGAGAUUAUAAGAUUAAAUUACCUUAGGGAUAACAGCGUAAUUUUUUUUGAAAGUUCUUAUUGAUAAAAAAGAUUGCGACCUCGAUGUUGGAUUAAAGAUUAGUUUAGGUGCAAAAGUUUAAAUUUUUGGUCUGUUCGACCAUUAAAUCUUUACAUGAUCUGAGUUCAGACCGGUGUGAGCCAGGUCGGUUUUUAUCUUUAUUUAUAUAUAAUAUUUUAGUACGAAAGGACCAAAUAUUAAUUAUAUUAAUUAUUAUUUUGAAUAUUAUU